rnacentral:snoRNA from 1 species
ACCCUCCAGUUUCCUGACCCCUCCUGUCUAAAUUUUCAUCUCAGUGGCGGGAAUAGGAGGAAAAGUAAAAGCGAAGUGGGCUUGGAGUCUUUCAUGACUGACAUACAAGUUCAUUUCAAAUAUAU